AACGACGCAUAUGAUCAAUUGAAAUUCGGAACACGUACAGUUCAACCGCAGACUAACGGGAGCAAAAUAGUAUAUUAUUAUCAAUUCGCAUAAACUUAUCGAUCGCUUAACUGAAUGCUUAAGCUUUUAAACGUAUUGCUUAGUUGAUACAGCAAAUAUGGUUUUUUGAUCAUGCCGAUUUCGUUGUAUAUGCCGAACCUCUAUAACGAACAAGUCGCUCUUAUAAGGAAAGUAAUGGGUACUAUUCAAAUGUUCACGUUACGUAUACGUGAUCUGACAAGCGGAUGAUAGCAGAUUAGAGUGAGUGCGGCGCUAACUACAACGUCGGAUUUCGUCUAUCAAAUUAUUUCGAGCGCUGAUUUUGCAGAAACGGUGAAGAUAAAUUAGUAAUGAAUUCAACGAAGACAUCAGGCCCAGUCAGUGCUGAACUCAGGCCUCACCGUUAACCUGCAGCUCCGACCAAUCGAUAAAUAUGCGGAAUUAUAACCCGCAGAAUACUACUUCAGGUGAAAGAAGCUAAGAGCUUACGAAUAAGAUACUCAACGCUUUGGUACUCCGCUAUCUGUGUCGUGUAUACCGAGCGCUACCGACAGUCGCGAACCUGAAUGACAACAUAAUUGCGCUCAAGGGUAGAAAGGCUGGCACCGCUUGACUAGCUUGGGAUCUGGCAAAUAUUUUACCAUGUUGCUGAAACUAGACUGGUCUGAAAAAUAAAUAUCUGCAACCCAAAUAAAGGAAAGGGAAGAAUUUCCAAAAUCCUUGUUAGUAAAAUAUUUAAUAAUCUUCAUUUGUGCGUACAGCCGAGUUGGCACGCUUUUGA